rnacentral:rRNA from 1 species
UACGUAGGGUGCAAGCGUUGUCCGGAAUUAUUGGGCGUAAAGGGCGCGUAGGCGGGCAGGCAAGUCAGGGGUGAAAGCCCACGGCUCAACCGUGGAAGUGCCUUUGAUACUGCCGGCCUGGAGGGAGGUAGGGGCGUGCGGAACUUCCGGUGGAGCGGUGAAAUGCGUAGAUAUCGGAAGGAACACCGGUGGCGAAAGCGGCGCGCUGGACCUCUUCUGACGCUGAGGCGCGAAAGCCAGGGGAGCAAACGGG